rnacentral:hammerhead_ribozyme from 15 species
ACGGCGUCUAAGGUAGGCUCCCACUACAUUACCCUACUGAUGAGUCCAGUAGUGGAAGCCGGGACGAAACGCCAA